UACAGAGGUCUCAAGCGUUGUUCGGAUUCAUUGGGCGUAAAGGGUGCGUAGGCGGAUUGUUUAAGUCAGGGGUGAAAUCCCGGAGCUCAACUCCGGAACUGCCCUUGAAACUGCAGUGCUAGAAUCUUGGAGAGGUGUGUGGAACUCCGAGUGUAGAGGUGAAAUUCGUAGAUAUUCGGAAGAACACCAGUGGCGAAGGCGACACACUGGCCCGUUACUGACGCUGAGGCGCGAAAGCGUGGGGAGCAAACAGG
rnacentral:rRNA from 1 species